AGAUCUCUGCUCAUCACACCGAGGGGCCCGGGAGACAAACUCUUUGGGAAGUAAUUGUUCCCAGAGACUGGCCCAUGAGGCUCCUCAGAGUCACCUUCUGCUGUAGUGGUGCAGACACACCUCCACUCUCCACUGCUCAGAGCUGGGUCUGCAGAGAAAGGACCUCUCAGAGGUGACUCUGAAAAGUCAGCAGCUCCUGGGAUUUAUAUUCAUCCCAUGUCUGGAAGAUCAGGCUGUAGAAGACUUCUCCAUGGGCCCUUGAGGAGCUGCUUGGGAAGCUGAACCCUCAGCACCUCACGUCACUUUAAUCCUCCUUUUCAGCUCCCAGUGGAUCUGAUUAGGCUGACAAAGAACUGAGAGCUGCCAAAGCACUUCCUAGAAGCAGAGACGGGGCAAAAUGAGGCUGAAGAGGGAGGAGAGAACAGUGUUUCUUUGUAGGGGUUUCCAAAAUACCCUCCCCUGAUAAGCACAAGUGGCUUGUUGCAGAGAAAUAGGCAGAAGGCCCAGCAGUUACCCGCUGACACAUCCUUAACUUUAAUUCCAGAACAUCAGCAAAAUUGUUACAACCCAAAUAAUUUCCUUGAGACCGGACUGAGUGAGCUCUGGUGGCACCGUGAGGUGAAAGACCUGAGGAAAACUAGAUGGUCCACUGGGGAGUGGACUUUAAAAAAAGGGUCUUUGUGUCACAAUAAAAUGUCCAG